AUUGAACGCUGGCGGCAGGCUUAACACAUGCAAGUCGAGCGGGGGAAGGUAGCUUGCUACCGGACCUAGCGGCGGACGGGUGAGUAAUGCUUAGGAAUCUGCCUAUUAGUGGGGGACAACAUCUCGAAAGGGAUGCUAAUACCGCAUACGUCCUACGGGAGAAAGCAGGGGAUCUUCGGACCUUGCGCUAAUAGAUGAGCCUAAGUCGGAUUAGCUAGUUGGUGGGGUAAAGGCCUACCAAGGCGACGAUCUGUAGCGGGUCUGAGAGGAUGAUCCGCCACACUGGGACUGAGACACGGCCCAGACUCCGACGGGAGGCAGCAGUGGGGAAUAUUGGACAAGGGGGGGAAACCUGAUCCAGCCAUGCCGCGUGUGUGAAGAAGGCCUUAUGGUUGUAAAGCACUUUAAGCGAGGAGGAGGCUACUCUAGUUAAUACCUAGGGAUAGUGGACGUUACUCGCAGAAUAAGCACCGGCUAACUCUGUGCCAGCCGCCGCCGUAAGAC
rnacentral:rRNA from 1 species